rnacentral:piRNA from 1 species
UGACAAGGCAGUUAACAUUCAAACAGGGUC